GAUGAACGCUGGCGGCGUGCCUAAUACAUGCAAGUCGAGCGAACAGAUGAGGAGCUUGCUCCUCUGACGUUAGCGGCGGACGGGUGAGUAACACGUGGAUAACCUACCUAUAAGACUGGGAUAACUUCGGGAAACCGGAGCUAAUACCGGAUAAUAUAUUGAACCGCAUGGUUCAAUAGUGAAAGACGGUUUUGCUGUCACUUAUAGAUGGAUCCGCGCCGCAUUAGCUAGUUGGUAAGGUAACGGCUUACCAAGGCAACGAUGCGUAGCCGACCUGAGAGGGGGAUAGGCAACAAUGGAAAAACGAAAAGGUAGAGAGUAUGACUGGAGGGAGAAGUGGGGAAUGGGGCGUAAGGGGCGAAAGACUGAAGGAGGAAAGUAGGGUGAGUCAAGAAGGGAGUAUGAUAGUAAAACGGUGUUAUUAGGGAAGAAAAAAAGUGUAAGGAACUGUGAACGUCUUGAGGGUAGUUAAUAAGAAGGGCACGGCUAACUACGUG
rnacentral:rRNA from 1 species